UGGCCUUUUUUGGAUAAGACUGGACUCCCCUGAUAAACACACAUUCUCUUUAAAGCUACUGAAAUCUUUUAAGGGCAAUAAAUAUGUGUACUACUGUAACUCUGGUGUUCCACAUUUCUCCUGGGACCAUCCAAACAUCAUGGUGGAAAAUAAACACUGGCUCGCAGACGAGGAGGAAUCCUGAAGAAGUGUUUGCCCUCCAGUCUCAGUGCUCCGUGUGCAGGGUGACCAGCAGGGGGCUCUGGACAGCAGGGGAUCCCACCAGCAAGAGCAAGAAGCGCAGGCUGCUCCAUAUCCGCAGGGC